rnacentral:rRNA from 1 species
UACGUAGGGGGCGAGCGUUGUCCGGAAUCAUUGGGCGUAAAGCGCGUGUAGGCGGCUUGGUAAAUCCGGUGUGAAACCUUGGGGCUCAACCCCAAGCCUGCACUGGAUACUGCCUCGCUUGAGUCCGGGAGGGGAGAGCGGAAUUCCUAGUGUAGCGGUGAAAUGCGCAGAUAUUAGGAAGAACACCGGUGGCCGAAGGCGGCUCUCUGGAACAGUACUGACGCUGAGACGCGAAAGCGUGGGGAGCGAACGAGGAAUUGAUGACCCCA